rnacentral:rRNA from 1 species
GAUGAACGCUAGCUACAGGCUUAACACAUGCAAGUCGAGGGGAAACGGCAUUAAGUGCUUGCACUUUUUGGACGUCGACCGGCGCACGGGUGAGUAACGCGUAUCCAACCUUCCCAUGACUAAGGGAUAACCUGCCGAAAGGCAGACUAAUACCUUAUGGUCUUCACUGACGGCAUCAGAUGUGAAGUAAAGAUUUAUCGGUUAUGGAUGGGGAUGCGUCUGAUUAGCUUGUUGGCGGGGUAACGGCCCACCAAGGCAACGAUCAGUAGGGGUUCUGAGAGGAAGGUCCCCCACAUUGGAACUGAGACACGGUCCAAACUCCUACGGGAGGCAGCAGUGAGGAAUAUUGGUCAAUGGGCGAGAGCCUGAACCAGCCAAGUAGCGUGCAGGAUGACGGCCCUAUGGGUGGUAAACUGCUUUUGGAUGGGGAUAAAGUCAAUCACGUGUGAUUGUUUGCAGGUACCAUACGAAUAAGGACCGGCUAAUUCCGUG